AAUGCAUUCAUUUCCGUAUUUUGAUACUGCAUUUUGUGCUACUAAUUUGUGCCAUUCUGAUCUGACCUCAAGUUCUAGGAGCAGCUAAGUGAAAUAAUAUUGUUUCUAAAUAUAUCUUUUCUUUUGAUGCUGACACAUGUUUCCACUGUUUGAUGGCCAGCUUAUGGUUAAAUAGAGGAUAAGCUUGUAUAAUUAGUAACUAGCAGCAUACCUGUUAGGGGGCACUUGCCUUCUGGAAAGAUAAUGUCGCAAGCUAUCUCCACUAUCUUAUACUGCAUAGGUACUAGGAUAUUUGACAUUUGCAGAAACGAGUUUUUUUUUCUAGAGUAGUCUUCUAGCUGCAUAGGAGUAUGUUGACAUUGUGCUAACUUAGGCUGAUAUUUGCUUGCAUUGUUCUGUCCAUACUGCCUUAAUAUUGUAUAUUAUGGCUGCAUAAUGGUAUUUUCGGAUUGACUCAUUGAUGCAUAAUGGUAUUAUCGUAAAUCAUACUGCCUUAAUACAGAGGAUUGGCAUAAUGAUAUUUGCUUGUGGGAUAUGCUUGUAGCCAGUCCGUUCUGAUGAUUCCAAUAGGCUCUUUCUUAGGGUUGGAUCUCCUCAUGGUUUUCUUUUAAUUAAAUAAGUAUGUGGUGCAGACACUAAUUUAUAUGAAUAUAACCUAUCCAUCAUUGCUUCACUUCAAGUCUGGCACUGCCAUGUCUCUGUAUGCUUGAUAGUCUGUCUAAACCUUGGAGUAGCAGAUUGACAUGGGUUGUUGUAUCGAUGAUGCUUAAGUAUGGGUAAGCUAAAUAGGGAUGCAAGUAGCAGAUUAUGCUAGAUUCUUGCACAGGGAAAAUUAUGUAGUAUUGUGGGGGUAACAAGUAGGUUCCUUUUUAAAGGUACACGUGAGCAUGCCUAUACUAUGCCAGAUGCUUGAUCAGUUCAAAAACAUUUGUGUGUGGGGGAGCUGUUUUAUUCUUGUUUAUUUAUCAGUUCAAACAGAUUGUCAUGAACAUGCUUGAUUUCCUUCGUUUGACAGAGAAACCAAUAGUAUAUAAAAUCAUGGGCAGAGGUCCCCAAACCAUGGUGUACUAUAGUGGGCCUUUGUACUCUGUAUCUAAUCAUCUAACCUUAGAUGCAGACAUUAGUUUAUGUGUUGAUACCGUCAUACGCCGUUGUUUCAUAACAACGCCCAUCGGACAGAUAGAGAGUGACGACGACACUAGCUCACAUAUGAAGUGCAAAGGUUUUCUUCCUUCUUGCAUGUUGGUGUAAAGAGCAGGUAAACCUGCUUGCGCGAUGGUACAAGCAGCAGCAACAGAGCUUUUUUCAAAAUUCUUCGAAGAGGCCGCCACUAAAUGGCUCCAUGAAUAAAUGGGUGUGAAGUCUUGGAUUCUUGGUUUGCUCACAGGGAUUGUAUUCUCCUACUAGCCACAUGAUCAGGCUGUGGAGUACGGAGUUCACAAAAUCUAGGAGAUGAACAACCUUGGGGUAACCCUCUCACUAUCUCAUGCCAGCAGCCGCACCCACGCCCUGUUCCGUCUCGCACGCUCUCGCCAACUUGUGGUUGUCCAUCUGCCGCCAAGCACCCGGCCCCAGCAGUCGCACUGUCAGUGUUUUUUCUUUUACAACAAGCUUCUGUUCUGAAAUUAUAUUGUCUAUGAUUUGUAACUUGCUUGGUGGUAUCAACAAGCUUUUGUCUGGUCCUUGAUCGGGUAGGCGGUCGUGUUGUGCAUGGCGGACUUGAGACAGUUGAUGGUUUGUCCGAAGCAUUGGAAAUCUGAGAGUGAGCUCCCUUGUAUGAUUGCUUUGGCUAA